rnacentral:tRNA from 1 species
GUCUUGGUGGUUUAAAGGCUUAGGACACUCGCACGGAAUGCAAGAAAUCCGAGUUCGAUUCCCUGCCGAGACA